GCUAAAGGGGGGACUUGGGGGCUUGUGUCAAACAUCAGCUGAUUCGGAGAGCGGGAAAGCAGAGGACUGGUUGUUGUGACGUCACUGGAGGAAAUAAAGUGGAUUAUCAAGGGUUCCCCGACAGAAGAUGACUUAUUUCAGUUCAGAGGUGUCAUUUUCACUGAGGGCCGCUUCUAACAUGGAAGCAUCCCAUGUUCGGGGACGGCCGGUCGGAGGAGGCAAGAGAGUCCGCAGCCGCAGAAGGAACGACGCAAGCUCUCCGCUCAUGUCUACGCUGGUACUCCAGGUACUUGGUCAGCUCGUACGUGCGCUCGAUGGAGCUCCUUUCGCCGGCCGGGCCCGGGGACGAACGCACAGCCGUCGCCAUGGCAACAACCAACAGGAAGACGCGGUGGCUUUGAUGGUCCGCGGCUAUGUAGAGAGGACGCAUACAAAGAGGACAUUAAUCGCUAUCAUGGAGCCUUGUCAGGUAUGUUGGUACCUAAAUGUAUAUUUAUACCUUUGUCAUACUUUUACAAAUAAAGGGGACCGCAAAAAAUGUCA